GCUGUGAGCUCGAUGAGUAGGGCGGGACACGUGGUAUCCUGUCUGAAUAUGGGGGGACCAUCCUCCAAGGCUAAAUACUCCUGACUGACCGAUAGUGAACCAGUACCGUGAGGGAAAGGCGAAAAGAACCCCGGCGAGGGGAGUGAAAAAGAACCUGAAACCGUGUACGUACAAGCAGUGGGAGCACCCUUUGGGGUGUGACUGCGUACCUUUUGUAUAAUGGGUCAGCGACUUAUAUUCUGUAGCAAGGUUAACCGAAUAGGGGAGCCGGAGGGAAACCGAGUCUUAAUUGGGCGUUAAGUUGCAGGGUAUAGACCCGAAACCCGGUGAUCUAGCCAUGGGCAGGUUGAAGGUUGGGUAACACUAACUGGAGGACCGAACCGACUAAUGUUGAAAAAUUAGCGGAUGACCUGUGGCUGGGGGUGAAAGGCCAAUCAAACCGGGAGAUAGCUGGUUCUCCCCGAAAGCUAUUUAGGUAGCGCCUCGUGAAUUCAUCUCCGGGGGUAGAGCACUGUUUCGGCUAGGGGGCCAUCCCGGCUUACCAACCCGAUGCAAACUGCGAAUACCGGAGAAUGUUAUCACGGGAGACACACGGCGGGUGCUAACGUCCGUCGUGAAGAGGGAAACAACCCAGACCGCCAGCUAAGGUCCCAAAGUCAUGGUUAAGUGGGAAACGAUGUGGGAAGGCCCAGACAGCCAGGAUGUUGGCUUAGAAGCAGCCAUCAUUUAAAGAAAGCGUAAUAGCUCACUGGUCGAGUCGGCCUGCGCGGAAGAUGUAACGGGGCUAAACCAUGCACCGAAGCUGCGGCAGCGACACUCAGGUGUUGUUGGGUAGGGGAGCGUUCUGUAAGCCUGCGAAGGUGGCCUGUGAGGGUUGCUGGAGGUAUCAGAAGUGCGAAUGCUGACAUAAGUAACGAUAAAGCGGGUGAAAAGCCCGCUCGCCGGAAGACCAAGGGUUCCUGUCCAACGUUAAUCGGGGCAGGGUGAGUCGACCCCUAAGGCGAGGCCGAAAGGCGUAGUCGAUGGGAAACGGGUUAAUAUUCCCGUACUUGGUGUUACUGCGAAGGGGGGACGGAGAAGGCUAUGUUGGCCGGGCGACGGUUGUCCCGGUUUAAGCGUGUAGGUGUGUGUUCCAGGUAAAUCCGGUUCACUUUAACACUGAGGCGUGAUGACGAGGCACUACGGUGCUGAAGCAACAAAUGCCCUGCUUCCAGGAAAAGCCUCUAAGCAUCAGGUAACAUCAAAUCGUACCCCAAACCGACACAGGUGGUCAGGUAGAGAAUACCAAGGCGCUUGAGAGAACUCGGGUGAAGGAACUAGGCAAAAUGGUGCCGUAACUUCGGGAGAAGGCACGCUGACACGUAGGUGAAGUGAUUUACUCAUGGAGCUGAAGUCAGUCGAAGAUACCAGCUGGCUGCAACUGUUUAUUAAAAACACAGCACUGUGCAAACACGAAAGUGGACGUAUACGGUGUGACGCCUGCCCGGUGCCGGAAGGUUAAUUGAUGGGGUCAGCGCAAGCGAAGCUCCUGAUCGAAGCCCCGGUAAACGGCGGCCGUAACUAUAACGGUCCUAAGGUAGCGAAAUUCCUUGUCGGGUAAGUUCCGACCUGCACGAAUGGCGUAAUGAUGGCCAGGCUGUCUCCACCCGAGACUCAGUGAAAUUGAACUCGCUGUGAAGAUGCAGUGUACCCGCGGCAAGACGGAAAGACCCCGUGAACCUUUACUAUAGCUUGACACUGAACAUUGAGCCUUGAUGUGUAGGAUAGGUGGGAGGCUUUGAAGUGUGG
rnacentral:rRNA from 1 species